rnacentral:rRNA from 1 species
AUUUAAUUUAAGUUUCCCCAAAUUAAAUAGUUAAACUUGGGCGAGUCAUAACAAUUGAGCUAAUCGCACGGCCUUGCGCUGGCGAUGCUCCAUUCGAAUUUCUGACCUAUCAACUUUCGAUGGUAGGAUCGGGGCCUACCAUGGUUAUAACGGGUAACGGGGAAUUAGGGUUUGAUUCCGGAGAGGGAGCUUGAGAAACGGCUACCACUUCCAUGGAAGGCAGCAGGCGCGCAAAUUACCCAAUCCCGACACGGGGAGGUAGUGACAACAAAUAACAAUACAGGUCCCAAUAGGGUCUUGUAAUUGGAAUGAGUACAAUUUAAACCCCUUAAUGAGUAUCAAUUGGAGGGCAAGUCUGGUGCCAGCAUCCGCGGUAAUUCCAGCUCCAUUAGUGUAUAUUAAAGUUGUUGCGGUUAAAAAGCUCGUAGUUGGAUUUUGAAACUUUGAAAAACUUGAUAAUGUGCUUUGUCAUAUUAUUAGUUUUUUAAGUUUUCUUUCUUCUGAAUGCUCAUUACUGCUCUUAACUGAGUGGUGAUUAAGAUAAUAAAAAGGAGAAUUUAUUAUUCUUUUUAUUAUUGGAGUUUCAGAUCAGUUACUUUGAAAAAAUUAGAGUGUUCAAAGCAGGCGUUGAUAAAGCCUUGAAUACAUUAGCAUGGGAUAAUGAAAUUAAGACUCUGUUCUUAUUUCGUUGGUUUCUGAGAAUGGAGUAAUGAUUAAUAGGGAUAGUUGGGGUGAUUUAUAUUUAAUUGUCAGAGGUGAAAUUCUUGGAUUUCUGAAAGAUAAACUUCUGCGAAAGCAUUUCACAAGGAUGUUUUCAUUAAUCAAGAACGAAAGUUGGGGGAUCGAAGACGAUUAGAUACCGUCGUAGUCUCAACCAUAAACUAUGCCGACCAGAGAUCGAAUAAGUUGAUUUGAAAUCUCCUCCGGCAUCGUAUGAGAAAUCAUAAGUCUUUGGGCUUCGGGGGGAGUAUGGUCGCAAGGCUGAAACUUAAAGGAAUUGACGGAAGGGCACAACCAGGAGUGGAGCCUGCGGCUUAAUUUGACCCAACACGGGGAAACUUACCAGGUCCGGACAGCAGAAGGAUUGACAGAUUGAGAGCUCUUUCUUGAUUUGUUGGGUGGUGGUGCAUGGCCGUUCUUAGUUGGUGGAGUGAUUUGUCUGCUUAAUUGCGUUAACGAACGAGACCUUAACCUACUAAAUAGUUACACAAGCCGUCUAAUAU